rnacentral:rRNA from 1 species
UACGGAGGAUGCAAGCGUUAUCCGGAAUGAUUGGGCGUAAAGCGUCCGCAGGUGGCAAUGUAAGUCUGCUGUCAAAGCGUCUGGCUCAACCAGAUAAAGGCAGUGGAAACUACAUAGCUAGAGUAAGGUAGGGGUAGAGGGAAUUCCUGGUGUAGCGGUGAAAUGCGCAGAGAUCAGGAAGAACACCGGUGGCGAAAGCGCUCUGCUGGACCUAAACUGACACUGAGGGACGAAAGCUAGGGGAGCGAAUGGG